rnacentral:rRNA from 1 species
UCUGGAUUAUAAACUUAUUUACCUGAGCACUAUGAAUAGAAGAUUCUGUGUUAAUUUAAAACUCAAAAGGCUUGGCGGUGUUUUAGACUUUUCAGGGGAACCUGUCUCUUAAUCGAUAGUCCACGAUAGACCUAACUUUAUUUUAGGGUAUGUAUACCGUCGUCAACAGGUGACUUUUAAAAAAAUAAAAGUUAGCAAGUAAAAAAAUUUAUUUUUUAUGUCAGAUCAAGGUGCAGCUUAUAAAAAAGUGAGGAUGGGUUACAAUUAAUAAAAUUUUAAUUAUGAAGAUGUUGAUGAAAUUCAUAUUUGAAGGAGGACUUGAAAGUAAAAAUUUAAUUAUAUAGAUGUUUUGAAUAUAGCUCUGAAACGUGCACACAUCGCCCGUCGCUCUCGUUGAAAAAUGAGAUAAGUCGUAACAUAGUAAUGGUAACGGAAGUUGCCGUUAGAUG